rnacentral:lncRNA from 1 species
UACAAAAACUCUUUCUGAUAAUCCACCACAUAAACUUACAAUAGGCACACCUGCUUUAUUGCUUACAGCAGGAAAUCACCAAUGAUAAGCAUUAAAACCAUCUCUUCCUGCAUAACAUACCGAUGAAAACUUGAGAUGUCCUUAAUGUCAACCCCUCCUUCUCCUUUACAUCAAGACAGCUCUGUUCAGUUCGCAGUUAUCAUAGUGUCUUCAUCUGUGUCAGCGCCAUGAUCAGACUCUUCUUACACUUAGUAGCUGUGCCGUUCUGCUUAGCAGAACUCUCAAAAAACAAUGUUCGCCAAACUCCCACUGCUAUGAUCAAACAUUCUGGAGAAAAAAUUCUGAUAAACUGCAGCCAUUCAAGCACUAAAUUUGAUAUGAUUCAGUGGUACAAACAGUCUGUUGGGACAAAUGAUAUGGCUCUACUAGGCUACGUACGAUUCUCUUCUGCAGUUGUUGAAAAUACAUUCAAAAAUGAAUAUGACGUGAAAGGGCAUGGGAGCAGUUGGUCGUCCCUUCAUAUUCUAAACCUGACUGGAAUUGAGCCCAGCGUUGUGUAUUUCUGUGCUGCCAGUGAAGCACAGUGCUGCGUAAACGACUUUGACUUCAACAAAAACCUUCUGUGAUGCAGGCAGCAACACAGUCAUGCAGCUGCUGAUAAUAUCAUAAGCAACAAAUAAACCACAUCGUGAAUGACUGAUAUCAGACAACUGUCUCAUAAGACUGCUACAUUCUUCUUAUAACCAUUAGGGGGCAGUGUUUCCCCACCCAUUUCUGACUAACAAAAACAGAAAAAUUUAUUUUAUAUUUGAGACUUGUAUAGUAUAGUAUAGUAUAGUGAUAGAUGGAUGGAUGGCUAGAUGGAUAGAUAUAGAUAGAGAUAGUACUUUAUUCAUCCCAAAAUUCUGCUGAUGCAGCAGCAAAUUACAGGCACUCAACAUAAACAUAAAUCUCACAAGGAAAAGAAAACAAUAUAAGAAAUUAUUUUUAAAAAGAUAGAGGAAUAUAGAAAUUAUAUACAAAAUCAAUACACAAUAAGGGAGCAGACAACAUACAAUAAGUGUGCAAAAAAUCUCAAAGAGAGAACCUAUGUGCAAAUAUUGCCAGUUCAGACAGUCAGUCCAGGGUGUUAUCUGACACAUAGUGAACAUGUGUUGUACAGAGUUAUGAGGCAGGAAGGAUUUCCUGUAGCGAUCCUUAAGACAACAAAGCUGUCUGAGCCUUUUGGAGAAGCUGCUCCAUUG